rnacentral:hammerhead_ribozyme from 1 species
GCACUGCUGAGGAGUCCCAUAAUAGGACGAAACGGCCCGUCCAGUGC